rnacentral:rRNA from 1 species
CCUACGGGUGGCAGCAGUGGGGAAUAUUGCGCAAUGGGCGAAAGCCUGACGCAGCGACGCCGCGUGAGGGAUGAAGGUCUUCGGAUCGUAAACCUCUGUCAGCAGGGAAGAACGGUCACUGUGCUAAUCAGCAGUGAAUUGACGGUACCUGCAAAGGAAGCACCGGCUAACUCCGUGCCAGCAGCCGCGGUAAUACGUAGGGUCCGUGCGUUAAUUGGAAGUACUGGGCGUAAAGCGCUCGUAGGCGGUAUGUCAAGUCAAGGGUGAAAUCCCCGCGCUCAACGUGGGAACUGCCUUUGAAACUGGCAGUCUGGAGUAUAUGAGAGGAUAGUGGAAUUCCAGGUGUAGGGGUGAAAUCCGUAGAUAUCUGGAGGAACAUCAGUGGCGAAGGCGACUAUCUGGCACAUAACUGACGCUGAGGAGCGAAAGCGUGGGUAGCAAACAGGAUUAGAUACCCCAGUAGUC